rnacentral:rRNA from 1 species
CCUACGGGUGGCAGCAGUGAGGGAUAUUGGUCAAUGGGGGAAACCCUGAACCAGCAACGCCGCGUGAGGGAAGACGGUUUUCGGAUUGUAAACCUCUUUCCGCUGGGAAGAUAAUGACGGUAGCAGAGGAGGAAGCGCCGGCUAACGACGUGCCAGCAGCCGCGGUAAUACGUAGGGAGCAAGCGUUGUCCGGAUUUACUGGGUGUAAAGGGUGCGUAGGCGGGCCUGCAAGUCAGAAGUGAAAUCCAUGGGCUUAACCCGUGAACUGCCGUUGAAACUGUAGUGCUUGAGUGAAGUAGAGGGAGGCGGAAUGCCCGGUGUAGCGGUGAAAUGCGUAGAGAUCGGGAGGAACACCAGUGGCGAAGGCGGCAUGCUGGGCUUUAACUGACGCUGAAGCACGAAAGCGUGGGUAGCAAACAGGAUUAGAUACCCUGGUAGUC